AAUUCGACCUUUAUUGCUUCUCUCUCUCUCUCUUCCUCGGCUUCUAGAUAGAUGGGAGCCGUCUUCCUCGCAUCGAUCACGAGAACACUACCACUUCGCUUGCUCUCUGCAAGCGCUCCCUCCUCCUCCGGCGAUCCAUAGUGCCGGAUCCGAACGCCCCCUGAUCUGAGACCCGCCGCGUCAUGGAAGUCGGCUCCAUCUCCUCCGCCCCCCGCACCGUGGAAGAGAUCUUUAAGGACUAUAGCAGCCGCCGCGCCGGCAUCGUCCGCGCCCUCACCCAUGAUGUCGACGAGUUCUACGCCCAGUGCGAUCCGGAGAAGGAGAACUUGUGCCUGUACGGCCACCCCAACGACUCGUGGGAGGUGAACCUCCCGGCGGAGGAGGUGCCGCCGGAGCUGCCGGAGCCAGCGCUUGGGAUUAAUUUCGCGAGGGACGGGAUGAACCGCCGCGACUGGCUCUCGCUCAUCGCCGUGCAUAGCGACUCCUGGCUCUUGUCUGUUGCUUUCUAUCUUGGGGCGCGCCUCAACCGGAACGAGAGAUUGUUGGCAGGCUGAUUUGAUCAUGGUACGAAUAGGUCAAUCCUGAUUGGCAAAGAAAGAAUUCAGGUAACUCACUCAAACAUUUUGUUGUUCCGAUUGAAUUGUGCUUUAAUUGGAUCCAGAAAUUCACAACACCUACUUUCGAUAUAGACUUAUUGAUCAAUUUGGUAGAUUACAGAAGUCAAAGAAGUUCGAAUGUCAUAAGGUCCCAACUAUUUGGGGUUAUAUGCAUGGAUUCUUUUUCUUGCCAACAACACCGUUGAGGGAAAAAUUACUUGUCAAACAAGAAGUAAUCAAAUAAUCAAUUAUCAAAUACAUCUUUAGUGUUUCUAAUAAAUUUUUCUUGACACUGCUUGUCUAAAAAGUAAUCAACAAGCAAUGUUACUUGAAGUAAUCAAAGAUGCUUGUAUCAUAAAAAGUAAAACUAUUUUAGUAUUUUUACCAGCUUUAAAAUAAAAGCAAUUUUGUUAUUUCUAUUUUUAGUCAUUUUACAAAUAACACCUCAUCUAUCCCAUCCUCUCUUUUUCUUUAGUGAUACAAGUCACUCUUUCAAUAGUCAUGCCCAUAUGUGAAUAAUUGCUUUAGAAACCAUUAAGCAGCCCCAAAAAGGCAUUCAGGUCAGAACCUUUGAUCAUUGAGCAUGAAUUCAUUUAUCUUUCCUUUUAAUUGUAUGUUAACUUAGGGGUCCAAGGCAUUAUUAAAGUUAACAGGUAAAAGAUACAUGAUGCACUACAAUCUAUCAGUUGAUAAGAAGAAAGUCCUAUUUGUGCAUAACACGUCUGGUUGCUGAUGCCAUAUGGUUUUUUUUUCAUAAAGAAACAUGCAGACAUGUUGGAAAAACAAAUUGAAAAUUUGUCACAGGUGAUAUUAGACUUUUUCAUUUUCUUGUCUGCUAGAUUCUUUCUUGUUGUUUGCAGGGUUAUGGUUUCAAAAAGAUGAUAAAGAUGGAGUUCGCUCGUAAGAUUUGACGGGUAUAGAUACACAACAAGAUAUUUAAAUGCCAAUAGUUAUUUGGUUUUGUGACUAAAAAGGUUGAUGGGAACCUGCAUAACAUACAAAAGCCUUAAAAUUUGGUCUAUUAUUUUGAGGAUAAAUUUUUUUUUAGUUGAGCUUAAGGAUUUGACUCUCGCAUAACCCUUGCCCUGCCUAUUCUUUGACCGUGGGGGGCAAUUUGAUUUUUUAUAUGCAACCUGAUUUCCUAAUUAAUUUGUGCAAGAUACCUGAACAUGUUCCAUGCAUGAAAGAGCAUGGAGACUACUAGAAGCUGCUAUAUGAUUUAGAUGGCAUAAAAGGGUCUACAGUCCUGAAUUAUGUGGAACUUGUUUUUCCGUGAGCAUACUUGGUGGUAAAGUGAAGGUAAAUUGAUCCUGGUCUGGAUCAAUAUGUUGGAUUUUUUUUAACUGCACCUAUCUACUUGCUUGACCCACUAAAACCAUUCCUAGAUUGUGCUGAUCUAAAGUUCAUGAUUAAAGCCCAUCAAUGCCCUACCUAAUGGACUGAGGUCUCAUAUUGAUUCUUUGUUAGAUACUUAGAUCAUGCCCAAUAUGCUCUCAUAAGGUAUAGACCACUUGCCGGCAACUCUAUUCGAGCACAAUAAAUAGCAUAGAAUUGCAAACAUGGAAUUUUGAGAGCUUUACUCUUCACGCUAGAUUUUGAAAGGACUUCUGUGUUAGCAAUUGAUUAAUACAUUUCUACCUGAUGUCUGUAGUCGUUUAUGUAAAUUAUGGGAGGUGUUUGAAGUGAAGGAGUGCUGUCGGAUGGGGUUUUCAUGUAUAAAGUGAUGCUCUUGGAUGAAAGGGAAGACCACAUUAUACCUGUGCAGAGUUGAUUUUGAAUGAUGCACUGAUUUUGAGUAGUUAUACACAAACUACUGCAGAAGCAUGAUGGUAUUAGUUUUGCUCAUGCAAUUAGCUGGAUGAAAAUGUGUGAAAAUCAUGGGUUUGGGGAAGUGUUGUAGCUGCUGCUUGUGUUGGAAGUCAAGCUCUGAUGCAUCUUUGUUUCAGGUCCCAGUGAAAUUCUGCAACCGCAGUUUCGUCCUACCUGUCCUUGUUUUUCACCUUGUACGUUAUAAGUUGAGAUCCAUGCAUUAUUUCAUUGCUUUAUUGUGUAUUUUUUAGUUAAAAAUUAACCCCACUUAAUAAUAACUGAUAUGAUAUAAAAAUCUUUGUUUUCUCAUUACUGAUAUACCAGGCACUGGAUCAUUCUUUAUUGUCAUAAAAUAGAUACAUCAUAUGCACAUGCAUAGCCUGAAUCAUUUAGAUUUAACCUUUGAUUGGAUGUCUCUAAGAAAUAGAAGUGACUGAAAUAACACUGAGGUCAGUGUCUCUCAGAAUGCAAUAAAUAAUAUGUACUGUUCCUACUCGUUUUUUUACUAGGGAAGUCAGAAUAUCUCUCUGAAUUUCUGGAUAUCAUAUUAAUUUAUUCAAGGAAAGAAAGAAUGAUGCUCGUUUCUUUUGUCUGUUUGAUUUCUUUGUAUGCUGGUUACCAUGCAAGAAUGUGAAGUCAAGAGUGUUUGGAACGUUGAAUAUUAGCUAUUUUUAUAUUGCAUAAUGGGAGUGCUAAUUUGAUUUUUAUAUUGAAUAGCUAUUUUUAUCUUGGUAUUCUUUUUUUUGUAGUCUUUGUAGAACCUAAAUGGUCAGACCUUCUAUGUUAUAGCCAAACUCACUUAGCAAUCCAAGACUGAGUUAAUUGGCUGUAUGCAACGGUAAAGUUAUAUAAUAAGCUGUCUGCUAAUAUGGUUUUUGAUUGAGUAAUUUGGUUGCUGUUGUUUCUAUCAUGUGCUCCAUCUUGAUAUAGAGAAAAUUUGCUAACUGAUGCACAUGACUGUCUCUACAUCCAGAGGUUUCAGUCUGGCACUUAAUCUGAAUAGAAGUUGUUCUGCAAUAUGAUAACACUAAGCCUAUUGCACUCAUGUGUGAAGCAUGGAGACGUUAGUCAGUGCCAGGUGAAGACUAGGUAGCAUGCGGAGUAUGCAAUGUCGAAGCCUAAACAAGUGAACUGUGCAACCUUUGUUUGGAGAUCAGCAUGUCGUGAACUUUUCCUCUGGAUUUGCAGUUUUCAUAAUGAUAUUUUUCACCAAUGCCUUGAGCUCGAAGGAUGAAACGCUUGUUUAGCAUGAUCAAUGAACUUCCAACCGUCUUUGAAGUGGUCUCGGACAGGAGGCGAUCGAAAGAAAAGUCUGGCGUGGACAGUGCAAGCAAAUCUAAACUCUCAACCAAGCGAUCAAGCGAAGGACAG